UCCUACGGGAGGCAGCAGUGAGGAAUAUUGGUCAAUGGUCGGGAGACUGAACCAGCCAAGCCGCGUGAGGGAUGAAGGUACAGAGUAUCGUAAACCUCUUUUGUCAGGGAACAAAGGCGGGGACGUGUCCCCGGAUGAGUGUACCUGAAGAAAAAGCAUCGGCUAACUCCGUGCCAGCAGCCGCGGUAAUACGGAGGAUGCGAGCGUUAUCCGGAUUUAUUGGGUUUAAAGGGUGCGCAGGCGGUCUGUUAGGUCAGCGGUCAAAGCCCGGGGCUCAACCCCGGCCCGCCGUUGAAACUGGCAGU
rnacentral:rRNA from 1 species